rnacentral:rRNA from 1 species
GACGAACGCUGGCGGCGUGCUUAACACAUGCAAGUCGAACGGAAAGGCCCUGCUUGCAGGGUACUCGAGUGGCGAACGGGUGAGUAACACGUGGGUGAUCUGCCCUGCACUCCGGGAUAAGCCUGGGAAACUGGGUUUAAUACCGGAGAGGAGCCAUUUUUAGUGUGAUGGUUGGAAAGUUUUUUCGGUGUAGGAUGAGCUCGGGGCCUAUCAGCUUGUUGGUGGGGUAAUGGCCUACCAAGGCGGUGACGGGUAGCCGGCCUGGGAGGGUGGACGGCCACAUUGGGACUGGGAUACGGCCCAGACUCCUACGGGAGGCAGCAGUGGGGGAGAUUGCACAAUGGGCGCGAGCCUGAUGCAGCGACGCCGCGUGGGGGAUGACGGCCUUCGGGUUGUAAACUCCUUUCGCUAGGGACGGAGCUUUUUGUGACGGUACCUAGAUAAGAAGCACCGGCUAACUACGUG